rnacentral:rRNA from 1 species
CUGUCGAGAAAAGCUUCGUGAGCGAGGUGGCGGGUCCGCCCGUACCCUAAACCGACACUGGUGGAUAGGUAGAGUAUACCGAGGCGAUCGAGUGAAUCGUGGUGAAGGAACUCGGCAAAAUGCCCCCGUAACUUUGGGAUAAGGGGGACCUGAGCUGUCGUGCACCCGUGCGGUGUGGUGGCGGUGAGGGGCGCAGAGUCCAGGGGGAAACGACUGUUUACCAAAAACACAGGUCCGUGCGAAGUCGUAAGACGAUGUAUACGGACUGACUCCUGCCCGGUGCUGGAAGGUUAAGGGGAACUGUGAGUGUGAUGCGUAGCGGUGAACUUAAGCCCCAGUAAACGGCGGUGGUAACUAUAACCAUCCUAAGGUAGCGAAAUUCCUUGUCGGGUAAGUUCCGACCUGCACGAAUGGAGUAACGAUUUCCCUACUGUCUCCACCAUGAACUCGGUGAAAUUGCAUUACGAGUAAAGAUGCUCGUUACGCGCAGCAGGACGGAAAGACCCCGGGACCUUUACUAUAGUUUGGUAUUGGUGAUUGGGACGGUUUGUGUAGGAUAGGUGGGAGACGUUGAUGCGGCCACGCUAGUGGUGGUGGAGUCGUUGGUGAAAUACCACUCUGAUUGUUCUGGUUAUCUCACUGUGGACCGUGAUCCGGUUCAAGGACAGUGCCUGAUGGGUAGUUUGACUGGGGCGGUCGCCUCCUAAAGGGUAACGGAGGCGCCCAAAGGUUCCCUCAUCCUGGUUGGUAAUCAGGUGGUGAGUGUAAGUGCACAAGGGGGCUUGACUGUGAGACUGACAGGUCGAGCAGGGACGAAAGUCGGGACUAGUGAUCUGACGGUGGCUUGUGGAUGCGCCGUCACUCAACGGAUAAAAGGUACCCCGGGGAUAACAGGCUGAUCUUGC